rnacentral:rRNA from 1 species
AACGCGAAGAACCUUACCGGGUCUUGACAUCCUCUGACAACCCUAGAGAUAGGGUUUUCCCUUCGGGGACAGAGUGACAGGUGGUGCAUGGUUGUCGUCAGCUCGUGUCGUGAGAUGUUGGGUUAGGUCCCGCAACGAGCGCAACCCUUGAUCUUAGUUGCCAGCAUUUAGUUGGGCACUCUAAGGUGACUGCCGGUGACAAACCGGAGGAAGGUGGGGAUGACGUCAAAUCAUCAUGCCCCUUAUGACCUGGGCUACACACGUGCUACAAUGGACAGAACAAAGGGCUGCGAGACCGCAAGGUUUAGCCAAUCCCACAAAUCUGUUCUCAGUUCGGAUCGCAGUCUGCAACUCGACUGCGUGAAGCUGGAAUCGCUAGUAAUCACGGAUCAGCAUGCCGCGGUGAAUACGUUCCCGGGCCUUGUACACACCG